rnacentral:tRNA from 2 species
AAAUUAUAGCUUAAUUUAGUAAAGCAUUUUAUUUACAUUAAAAAGUAAUCGUGCAAUUCGAUAUAGUUUGAA